CAGUGAUUCAAGAGUAGUAUUUGAAGAGACAUUAGGGAAUGAAAGAUUUGCAAAAUCAAUAACAUUUGGGAUGAUUUGAUUCCAGAGAUGAUAGUUUUCCAAUCAAGGUUAUGAUAUAUGCCAUCUGUCACCUUAUCUUUGCAAAUUUAUUAUUAAUCUAGGCUUUCUAGAAGUUAGUAGACUUUGUAUUUCUUAAUGAAAAUUGCUGAUUCUUUGUAAUAAAUAUUCUA